UACGAGAGGCCCAAACGUUAUUCGGAAUUACUGGGCUUAAAGAGUUCGUAGGCGGCAUGAAAAGUAGGGUGUGGAAGCCCUCGGCUCAACCGAGGAAUUGCGCUCUAAACUGUCGUGCUAGAGGAACCUAGAGGUGAGCAGAACUGAUGGUGGAGCGGUGAAAUGCGUUGAUAUCAUCAGGAAUACCGGAGGCGAAGGCGGCUCACUGGGGGUUUUCUGACGCUGAGGAACGAAAGCCAGGGGAGCGAACGGG
rnacentral:rRNA from 1 species